CUGCAGUCCUCUGAUACUGUUAAUGUGGAUCAACAACACCACAGCUCCCCCUAGUGGUUCAAAGUUCCCCUGCAGCGGCAGCUCAUGUUCUCCUCUGUGGUUGGAGCACUUACAUCUGAAAAGAGAGAGACAGAAAUUUGUUGGGAGGAGAAAGGGUCGAGGUCGGACUCGAACCCAGGCUGCGACCACAAGGACUACAGUCUCCAAACAUGGGGUCAUAACUGCUCGGCUCUCCGGCGCCGUCUUAAAUGAACCGGUGCUAAGUCACAGUAAAGUGCUCCACAGCGUCCUCGGAGAAGGAAUCGAGAGGAGGCAUUGAGCAGAUACUCAGACCCGUCACGGAGCCUGAGGAAAGGCGAGAGAAGAUGACAGUUACAACCUCCAAACACACGGGCGUUUAUACAUCGAUCAUCACUUUUACAUCUGCUUCAGUCUUCAGACAGCAUCAGAGUGAUUCAGAGGGGGUUUCCGUCUUACUGGAGUCGCAGACAGUUGGCUUUUUUGGUGUACUCAGGUGCGGGCGUGCACUCAGCUCCCAGCAGGUUCAGCGGCAGACCGCAUGCAGAGCUCUGCAGCAGAAAGGAAUCAUAACUAACUUCAUGAAAUCCAUUUCAAUGAUUCAUCAUUUCUGAUUCUUUGAGUUGUAUAUUUCUGCUCACCCUCAGUGUGUCCUUUCUGUCCUGGUAGAAGCACAAGGUGUGUCUGUAGAGGACAGCGUGGUACGAGUUCCAGCCUCUGGAGGUCGCCUGUGAAAAUAAGAUAUGAGUUUGUGCUGCCGCCUGCGAGCUUUCCAUCUGCUGCCUGAAACUCUGAACGAGUCUUUCUUACUUUCUUUCCUCCAAACUGCAGCUUGUGUUUCCGCUCCAGUGUACCCUCCAUCGACUGCAGCUCAGACUUUCCACUCUGAGAGAAAUAAACGCGGCAACAUUUACACAAAAUGAAACAAACACCUCCCUCUGAGCCGUAUUUCUAACAGAUUGAAUUCACUCUCACCAGGGUGAUACAGCGCCCUCUGGUGGACAUCGGUUCUUCCUGCGUCUCCUUGACGUCCAGGCUGCGAGAGGCUUUUCUCUGCUGACAGACGCCGUCCACAUUCAUAUGAACUGACAGCAGACUCAUCGACUGGUCCUGAUCAGAGAGACAGAGACGACAGAAGGCUGCUGAAGAUGGAGCUGCUGCCACCCGCGGUCAUAGGGUGGAAGGUCACGUUGGCUGUCUGAGGUGCAGGCGCUGAGGAUGACGGAGAAGAGGAGGAGGACGACGGCGAGAAAGUAGGGGAGGCUGAGGCUGCAGAGCGGCUCUUUUGGCGGGGCAGGGUGAUACUCUCGUACACUGGCGCUGCAGACGAGUUGUUAUCCUUCACAUGCAGAGCUUCCAGGCAGAAAUCCAGACUCAUGAACGAGUCCAGGUCCAAAGAAAAGUUUCAUCAGAGGAAAGUUGGACUGUAAGCGUACUGAUUAAUUGUCUGAGCGUCUGCAGGGGAUUUAUUCAUUCAUCUGAGUUUACACAAGACGAGCUGAAGGGAAAAAGACUACUGACAGAUGAUUGUACUCAGAGGUCGUCGUCGUCUUUAGUCAAAGGUCCGCCUUUGUUUUCACUGCGUCUAGCUUACUUAACAAUCCGUGUUAAACGGGUUACAAGACUCCCUUAACUCUCCAAACUGCAGAGAUAACUCAGAGUUUAUUUCACACCAAGCACUCGACAACAGUUUGUAACCCUACUUCACUAUGAAUCCAAAUCGUUUAACUGGAUAUGAAAAGAUUUCUGAGUUGUAAUAAUACUUAUGUUGGGUAUAAAAACAUUGAAUGUUUAUGCGUCAUGUUAAUACGUCAUGAUUACUUGGAACAAGGCAACACAACACAGCACAUAGAAAAUAUGUUGUCACGAUGUAGAAGAGACGCUUCACUGCAUUUCAGUCAUAUUGUUUAAGUCCGACACAGAACCUCUUGUCUUUUGCAUAAAAAUUGAAUGACACAUCCGUUACUCAACACUACCGACAUUUACUAAUGUUGAAACUGAUUACAGCUGAUCUGGGAUCCGUUCAGAUCACCCCCCCACGGCUCGGGCCUCUUGUGAUCUACUUAACAAACAGGAAGUCAAUUCAGUCUUUUAAAGAACUUAAAUGAGUUCUUUGCAGACUUUCAAACAGAGACGCGGUGUCGUUAAGUGUUAAUAUUUCAUUGUGUACGCUUUCUUUGUUUCUCACACUGUCUGUGCUUAUCAUGCAGGUAUCUGCUGGUUGCUACGGGUGACCACAAUCAGAAACGUAUCGUUAACAUCACAGCGUGCUGUCGUCUGUGGUGGUAAACUCGACCAAACAAACUCAGUACAGAGCGCUGUGAUUGGUACAAAAUAUAAAGUCCCUAAAUGCAUUACCAUGCACUCUUUAUACAUGUAUAUGCUAGAUCUGUAUUUUAAUCAAACUGUCUUUACUCUUAAAGCACUUCAUCUUUUUGUUAUGACGCUCAUUUUGUCUACUUUCAUGUCAAACACUUGAUUCAUUUAUUUCCUGAUUGUGAAGCCUUCAAGUCUCUGAUUGUUUAAGUUUCUGCAGUUCAGUUUGAAAUGAUGCAUUUAACAGUGAAGUGUUUUUUUUUAUUUUCUCUCAUUAACUAUACUUUAAUCCAGCUGCGUUGACUUUGUCGAUGGUGUAUGAGCACAUAUGACAACACUUUAGGAUGACUUGUUUUGGUUUUGUACUUUUACACCCGGUGUGCAGACAGGGCACCAGCAGCUCCGCUGCAGCCUGACUGAACCUCGUAACAGGAGUUAGUAGAGCAUGCUGCCUGCAGAAACAACAACCUCACACAGCAUGCAGUCCCAGCACACUUUGAGACGCAGCAUGCAGCGCCAAUUCACAAUGCGCAAUUUACCUCGUUU